UAAGGUCCCCGUACCCGCACCCAUACCCACUCAUUUUUGUGGGUAAUUACCCAUGCCCAUACCCGUACCCAUAAUGCGGGUUUUUACCCUACCCGUUAUGGGUAUUUUUUGCGGUUACCCACUGGGUAUGGGUCAAAUUGCCAUCCCUAAUAAGUGGAAUAGCAAUUCCACUUCAUUCCCGCAAAGGUGACAAAUACAACAAUGUAAAGCUUCUCAUGCGCUUUGAAUUCAUCUGAUUUUGUGUAUCCUUUGUUCUAUAUUUUGUACAGCAAUUACAAUAUAAUGCAAGAGUCUGUAUGUAGCUGUCUAGUACCAUAUAUUGUUAAGUUUGGAUGAAUUUUUUUUCUUUCCCUUUUGGUAUUUACUCGAAUAUCUAAGGGUGUGAGAAUAAUCUAUUGGUAGAUGAUGUUGAUGUUGUCUAUACCAAAGAGUGUGUUUCCACGGAUUUUGAGUGAUGUAUUUUAUUAAGAAAUAAAGAUGUGUAUCAUUGUAUUGUAAGGAUUGUAAAUACUCUAUAUUGAAGGUUGUAUUGUAAGUAAAUCAUAUACAAAUUUAACUGCAAAUCCUCCUUAAAAAGGAAUGAGCCAAAUUGCCCCCAUGUCGCAUUCCCU
rnacentral:lncRNA from 1 species